rnacentral:rRNA from 1 species
GACGAACGCUGGCGGCGUGCCUAAUACAUGCAAGUAGGACGCAGUUGCGAACGGGUGAGUAACGCGUCGGUAACUGCCUAUUAGAGGGGGAUAACUAUUGGAAACGAUAGCUAAUACCGCAUACUAGUAGAUGGACCUGCGUUGUAUUAGCUAGUAGGUAGGGGAAUGGCCUACCUAGGCGACGUUACAUAGCCGACCUGAGAGGGUGAUCAGACACACUGGGACGGGGAGACGGCCCAGACUCCUACGGGAGGCAGCAGUAGGGAAUCGUCGGCAAUGGGGGGAAGCCUGACCGAGCAACGCCGCGUGAGGGAAGAAGGUUUUCGGAUCGUAAAGCUCUGUUGUUAAGGAAGCGGUACUUAACCAGAAAGGGACGGCUAACUACGUGCCAGCAGCCGCGGUAAUUC